rnacentral:lncRNA from 1 species
GGGCACCCAGGCUUCUUCUCUCGAUCGAUAGUCAACACCAACGGCCAGCGCCUCCGCUGAGCUCCAAAUACAGCUUCCUCCUCCAGCGAGCCCUUCUGCUGGACAACCCACUAGCUCCAUCAACGAGCUCCGCCGAACUUCUCCUCCGCUGAGCAGUUCCGCCGUUCAUGCUCCGUUGAUGAUCCAAAGCUCCAUCAUCACCGCUCCACCGCUAGGACAUCACCACCCAACUGCCUCCGCUAGCAGAAUACCGCCAGCAACAGCUACUCCAUCGGACAACCCAUUAACCGGCUCCGCUGAGCUCCGAGUCUUCCGCCGAACUUCGAUCCGCCGCUGAGCUAGCAUCGAAUCUCCGUCGAGCUACAGGUGAGCAUAGAGCUCCGCUCCGCCACACUUCUUCAGCGGGUACAACUCCGCUAGGCACCGCCAAAGCUUUACUGGCAAGUCCAGCAAGCUUCACCGCCGGCCACAAAACAAACUAAAAUUGACCCACGAUCAACAAUCAUCCUCUUCGUCAAGCACCAGCACCACCGGCAAAAUAGCUCCGCUCCUCUCCGCUGAAGAGUGCUCCGCUAACCAAUCCUGCCUCCGCCAGCCAGGCCUCGCCGCCAACCACAACCAGCGGCUAAAUCACCGCUAAACACCACCGGCGGCUUUGUAGGCCUAACGACCAUUCUCCGCCAGCCUAGCUCCGGCUAUGACUUCCGCCAGCUACCUGCCACCGGCG